rfam:Ciona savignyi cont_45496, whole genome shotgun sequence.
UACCUGGUUGAUCCUGCCAGUAGUCAUAUGCUUGUCUCAAAGAUUAAGCCAUGCAAGUCUAAGUACGAGCUCUCGUACAGUGAAACUGCGAAUGGCUCAUUAAAUCAGUUAUGGUUCAUUUGAUCGUACAGUUUACUUGGAUAACUGUGGUAAUUCUAGAGCUAAUACAUGCGAGAAGCGCCGACCUCGCGGGAGGCGUGCAUUUAUCAGACCAAAAACCGGCCGCGUCUUCGGGCGCGUUCGCCUUGGUGACUCUGGAUAACUUUGCGGAUCGCACGGUCUAGCACCGGCGACGGAUCAUUCAAGUGUCUGCCCUAUCAACUUUCGUCGGUACGGUAUUUGCCUACCGAGGUUCUUACGGGUGACGGGGAAUCAGGGUUCGAUUCCGGAGAGAAGCCUAAAGAAACGGCUACCACAUCCAAGGAAGGCAGCAGGCGCGCAAAUUACCCAUUCCCGACGCGGGGAGGUAGUGACGAAAAAUAACAAUGCAGGACUCGUUCGAGGCCCUGUAAUUGGAAUGAGUACACUUUAAAAGCUUUAACGAGUAUCCAUUGGAGGGCAAGUCUGGUGCCAGCAGCCGCGGUAAUUCCAGCUCCAAAAGUAUAUAUUUAAGUUGUUGCGGUUAAAAAGCUCGUAGUUGGAUUUUGGGCGCAGGCGGCCGGUCCGUCGCAAGGCGUGUACUGGACGUCCUGGCCUUCCCUCCGGUUCUCCGCCGGUGCUCUUGACUGAGUGUCGGCGGCGGCCGGAACGUUUACUUUGAAAAAAUUAGAGUGUUCAAAGCAGGCUCUCGAGCCUGGAUAAUGGUGCAUGGAAUAAUGGAAUAGGACCUCGGUUCUAUUUUGUUGGUUUUCGGAGCGCGAGGUAAUGAUUAAGAGGGACAGACGGGGGCAUUCGUACUGUGCCGUUAGAGGUGAAAUUCUUGGAUCGGCGCAAGACGAACGACUGCGAAAGCAUUUGCCAAGAAUGUUUUCUUUAAUCAAGAGCGAAAGUCAGAGGUUCGAAGACGAUCAGAUACCGUCCUAGUUCUGACUAUAAACGAUGCCAACUAGCGAUCG